GGAAAGUGUACCUAGGGUUCCGCAACCCCUUGGGGAGGGUUGGUUUGGUCCGAGCGGUACAGGCGUUUUACGCUACACCGAUAGGGAUAAAAGCCCAGGCGGU
rnacentral:sRNA from 2 species